rnacentral:tRNA from 5 species
GCGGAUGUAGCCAAGUGGAUCAAGGCAGG